rnacentral:rRNA from 1 species
UACGUAGGUGGCAAGCGUUGUCCGGAUUUACUGGGCGUAAAGAGCGCGCAGGCGGUCGUUCAAGUCGCGUGUGAAAGCCCCCGGCUCAACUGGGGAGGGUCACGCGAUACUGAUCGACUCGAAGGCAGGAGAGGGAAGCGGAAUUCCCGGUGUAGUGGUGAAAUGCGUAGAUAUCGGGAGGAACACCAGUGGCGAAGGCGGCUUUCUGGCCUGUUCUUGACGCUGAGGCGCGAAAGCUAGGGGAGCGAACGGG